rnacentral:rRNA from 1 species
GCACCUACGGGGGGCAGCAGUGGGGAAUAUUGCACAAUGGGGGGAACCCUGAUGCAGCGACGCCGCGUGGGUGAGGAAGUACUUCGGUAUGUAAAGCCCUAUCAGCAGGGAAGAAAAUGACGGUACCUGACUAAGAAGCCCCGGCUAACUACGUGCCAGCAGCCGCGGUAAUACGUAGGGGGCAAGCGUUAUCCGGAUUUACUGGGUGUAAAGGGAGCGUAGACGGCUGUACAAGUCUGAAGUGAAAGCCCGUGGCUCAACCGCGGAACUGCUUUGGAAACUGUAAAGCUGGCGUACUGGAGGGG